GAGUUUGAUCCUGGCUCAGGAUGAACGCUGGCGGCGUGCUUAACACAUGCAAGUCGAACGGGAAAUAUUUCAUUGAAACUUCGGUCGAUUUAAUUUAAUUCUAGUGGCGGACGGGUGAGUAACGCGUGGGUAACCUGCCUUAUACAGGGGGAUAACAGUCAGAAAUGGCUGCUAAUACCGCAUAAGCGCACAGAGCUGCAUGGCUCAGUGUGAAAAACUCCGGUGGUAUAAGAUGGACCCGCGUUGGAUUAGCUGGUUGGUGGGGUAACGGCCCACCAAGGCGACGAUCCAUAGCCGGCCUGAGAGGGUGAACGGCCACAUUGGGACUGAGACACGGCCCAGACUCCUACGGGAGGCAGCAGUGGGGAAUAUUGCACAAUGGGGGAAACCCUGAUGCAGCGACGCCGCGUGAAGGAAGAAGUAUCUCGGAAUGUAAACUUCUAUCAGCAGGGAAGAUAGUGACGGUACCUGACUAAGAAGCCCCGGCUAACUACGUGCCAGCAGCCGCGGUAAUUC
rnacentral:rRNA from 1 species